UAUUAUCGCGAAACGAAGCAAGGAGGAACUCAUAAUUGGAGAAGAACAUCCAGGAGGAACGAUCGCCAAGUCUGUUGGAAGAGUAGUAUGACGCAUGAUCGUUAGGUUGAGGACACAAGACAUCACUAUGACGUAACUGAGCUAGGCGAGAAGACUGCGCGUCCUUGCGCUACUCGCGGCACUUGGGCCAAUUAAAGCAUUCAAGAGACUAAUCAAUUGUGUACCGACAAGUCGUUUGCAGGGGCUUAUAAAAAGAAGCGGAGAAAACGAGCUACGAUCGUUUCGUCGACGAUCUUCUUCCUUGAACAUGGAGAAAAAGAAGAAAAAUAUGAAAACCGACGAUGGAAUAAUAAUACGAUUGAAAUACGUAUUAUAAUAUAAUGGAUAGCAGAGUGAGAAGUAGUGUCAGACAGUAGUUAGUCAGACAGUGCCGGUCUACAUUCUACUUAAUACCACUAAUUACUUGUAUUAAAACCUCCACGCAAUUACGUAAUACUUAAUGAUAAUUGGAGUUUUAAUUAAGAUAAAAGAAUGUCUAUAAGUACAUUGAAAUUAUAUAUUACUAAAUAUACUACUAUAUCUAUUAAAUUCUUUGAUUUAUAUAACUUUCAGAUAAUCCACACAAAGUUAAAGUAAUUUAGUUAAAGAAAAAAGUGACUAUUAUCAUCUAUUUUAAUAAAGAUACGAUCGAUUUGAUGUAUACAUAUCUAGUAGCAGAUGUCAUAGAUAAAUUAUUUAUUCGCGUUUCUUCUAAUCGAUUGUGAAUCGAUCAGAAGAACUCUAGAAGUUACGAAGAACUAAAAUAUUCGAACGUCAUCGACUGAUCGAAUGUAUCACUUGUUGGCAAGAUGAAAGAGAUCCGUAACUAUGAGCCAAUCCCUGUGGCACCAGAGAUGGAAAGGAUGCUACAUUUUCUCGUUCUCCUUUAGAACCAACGAAAAACCAAUAAUACUUUUCGCGUGACACUCGGACCAAAUGCAUUCUUUCACAAACAAGAAAAUUAGUCACGAAUCCGACGUUUACGUUUACGGAAUGUUUCGCACGUGUCGCGAAUUACACAAUUCCAGUGAUUUAUUUCUCGUUAGCACAAUUUAUCACGUCUUCCAAUGAAAUAACAAAAAGCUAAACGUACUUACGUCAACGGUAAAAAUACUUUUACGCAACAAAUUCACUCUAUUUUAUUCCAAUCAAUCACCGAUAAAAAGCAAAACAGAAAAUGAAGUUUAUUUCUACAGAGAAUUUUUGGAAGAUUCCAAAUAAAAAUCAAAAAGUCGAAGUUUCAAUCUCAAGUUGCCACUGUUGGAAAAACUUCGUGUUUUAAUAAAAGUUUUUACAAGAAUUCACAGUUUCUUCCACGAUAUUCUUAUAUAGGCCAAGCUGGUGCACAAAUCAACACGAAUUGAUCCAAAGUAUGUUGGUUAAUUAAGAGUCAGUCAGUUAACUUGCAGCGAUAAGUACCAAUAUUUAUACCAUAAUCUUCGUUUUAUCUGAACAGUCUAAUUUCAGCCAAUUUUCAGAUGAUCUUAUCGAGACAGCUCCUAAGGAAUGUAUCUGGAAGCAACGAUACCAAACGAAAGCUCUGCUCGAGUAGACGUUCAUUGCCCCUCAUCAUUUCGUUCUUCGUAUCUAUGAAAAGUAUUCGAGAAGCAAAUAGAAUAAAUAACGCCGGAGAUAUACAACGAAUCGAAUCUUCGAGGGGAAAUGUUGAUCUUCAAUUGCGUUUCAAAAGUGUGUUUAAUUGUUCGAGAUAAUAGCUCCCUAUAUUUUCUAUAAGAAUUCGUGUUAAAUCAAAUCUUCGAGAAAGUAUGUUGAUCCCUAGCUACGUUUUAAAAUGUGUAUAAUUGUUCGAGAAAAUUGUCUUCUGUAUUUUCUGUAAGAAUUCUGUAUUAUUUUAGUGAAAAUUAGACAUAGAGUAUUGAGGUAAGAUUCACUUAUUUUCUUAUAUAAGCUUUUUUUUUAAAGAUCUUUGAUUUCUUGAUGUGAGGAUUCUUUUUCCUAUUUGGUAAUUUUACUUUCUCUACUAUCUAGAGAAAUUGGUAUUAUUUUGUAGAAAUUGGAUGUCGAACAUUUGGCUAAGAGAUAUUAGAAUUUGAAUUUAAUAUAAAAUCUCUUGUUUCACUUAUGAUUUAUUUAAAUUUUCUCCUUCUUGUGGAAAACUCUUGUUUUAUGCUAUUUGCUGGUUUUAUGAUCUCCAUUAUCCACAGAAAUCAAUUUUAUUUUAUGGAAUUUUGGUAGAAAGCAUUUGACUUUGGUUUUGAUAAAAAAUUUCUUUUUUCUUCUUAUAAAAGAUUUAAUAUAACAAUUGUUCUUGUUAUAAAAAAACGUAAUGAUUCUCUUUCCUUCUAAAUUUUAAUAUUCUUCUAUUUUAAUUAAUCGAUACUGACUUCUCUGAUGAAAAACAUUAUAAUUCUAAAUUUAAUACGAAUCAGUGAACUACAGUGUGAUAUUUUUCUCAUUAUAUCGUUGAUGUGUUCUCAUAUCCAUGUUCUGCUCCCGUUACAUUCAACUUAGAUUUUGUUUGACCGAUCGCUGUACACGAGUUGUUGGAUCGUUGCCUCUGUUACUCGUUACACAAACCUAAUGGAGUUACCGGUGUUUUCCAGCAGAAAAUUGAAGCUAACAUGUAGUUUAUCACUUCGACGCGUAAUUCACUAGUUUUCACCGAUCGUCACUCGUUUUUCGAGCAUUUAAAAAAAUCUUUAACCGCUCAAACUGGAGCCACGAGUUAGCUCGAUCCAUCACGAUUAAUCACCGAUCGAACUGACCAUUUAAUAUUGCUUUCGCGAGGUACAACAAUAUAUCAUACCUUGUACACUCUGCACGACACUUAUCAUACUGUUCUAUACGUAUAAACAGAGACAAUUAUUGAUCUUAUCUUAUCGACAACGUGUUGUACCAUCGAAUGUAUUUCGUAAUAUGAAACAAAUCAUGCUAUUGGUAUUUUUUUCUCAAUUAAAAAAUCUUCCACUCGCCGAUAUCAUAUUUUCAAAUUCAUCCUAAGGGAAGAUAUUUUUCUGUUUCUUAUUUUAUCGCAAUUUUUCGGCAGAAAAAGAAAAAGAUUCUUUUCAUGCAAUCUUUUGUCGUAAGAUUGAGUAAAUAACAAUUGGAUAUGAUAAAAAUGAUAACGACUCGACGCCGUCAAUUAAUUUAAUUUAUAUUUAAAGAGCCAAGUAUUUUAGGAAAUUUAUAUUCAUAGAGCGAAAUAUGCGGAUGUUUAUGCAAACUGAUAUUUCUACAAAUAUAAUUAAAGCUAUAAGACCUAUAUAAAAAAUAGUUUCAUCUAAAUAUAAUAUAACAUAUACCACAUAUAAUACAACAUCGACAAACAUAAAUAUUAUAACAGGUUCCAAUUUCUGGAUAUUUUAUGUGUUCCUACAGAUUAUGUACAUUACGUUGUUUAAAAUCCUCGUGAACACAUAAAAAUCCGCAGGUGAAUUACAAUAAAUAGAAAUUUUACUUGACACGAUGCAAGAGCAUCGCAUCUUAUCGCUUACUGAAAAAUAAUUUUAAAAACCGAAGUAAAUCAAAUAAAUGGUCAAUUAUCGUUACCUUGUGGCAACUGUUACUGAUAAUUCCGCGAUAAAAAUAUGGUCAUUCGUAAUAGAUAUGAUAUCGAGUAAAAAAAAAAAACGAAAUUGAUUCGUGGAAUAUCGAAUGAAAGUAAGCGCGACAAUGAUAUAAUUCUAUCCGUGAAUAUGAAUGUCUCAUGUUUGUGAUUGAUCAUAAAUUUUGUGUUACAGUUUUCAGUAUUAAAUUUUAAAAAAUUCUGUCUAUGAAUAUGAAUGUUACAUAUCCAUGAUUUGAUCAUGCAUUUCGUAUUACAAUUUCCAGCAUUAAAUUCUAAAUAUUUCUCUGAUGUAUAGGACUUAUGUAAAUGUUUUUAAUGUGUUAUAUAUCUUCAAUAAUAUUAUGGUAUCCUAAUAUCAUCUGAUCCUAAACUAUAAAAUUGAUAAAUGAGAUUCAUCGUCCUACAGAGGUAUUUAAUCAAAAUUAGACUUUGGAGAAAGAUUGUACAUUUCAUAAUAGCUAUAAAGACAGCUGCUUGAGAUCAGGUUGGGUAAAAUAAUUCGUCCUGGCACCCAAUGACAUUCACAACCGAUAGGUAUCUCGUAAAAGCAUUUUUGGCAUCAUAUUGCUAUGCUAUGACCACUCGUUUAUUAUCGUUCGCUAAUCGUUGAACGAUUAUCGUUAAUGAUUCACCAUACACUAUUUAUACAAUACACCAUUUUGUAACACUAAAAAUGAAAAACUGAUUCGCUUACGAGCAAAAUCAACUAAACACUGGCGUAUAAAUGAUGACCGAUGUCCAUCAUUUUCUUUGACAUCUACUGAAGCAAUAAGAAGAGCUUGCUAUUUAUUAAAAACACACACGAUUAUUUAUAUCUAUAAAUAUCAUCAAAAUUGUUUACUAGUACAAACAUCUACAAGGUAGAAUAUCAACUAUAGUAUCAUAAUGGCAACAUAAUUACGAACGUAAUUUUUCAUGCUUCCUAGAAUUUCGAAUUAUCCACGAAAGCGUUAAAUUGAUCGUGAAAAAAAUUACUCGAGGGAAUCCUUGGAGCUUUGACACGUGAAUGACAGACGGCAUUGUGUGUUGAGAUUAAUCCUACGAUAAUCGACGAACACGUCGACUGUGAAUCUUCCCUCUGGCAGCGAUUUCACACCCCCUUUGUGCUCCAAAGAGGAAGUUAAAGUUCGACUCUUCUGGCACACGAUUCAAUCUUCGAGGGAAUCGAGACGAUAAAUCACUGUCGCACCCAGUAUUCUUCGUGUAUUGGCACACUGUCGAAGGUAAACGAAAAUAGUCGUGCCCCUCUAACGUGUAAAAUUCUAGCACAUAGGAAGAUGAUCGACGAUAUCGAAUUGUUGUUCAAGAAAGCAAUGAUGAUGGUUGGAUCGAGAAUAUAACUGUAUACAAGAUCAUGAAAGUAUUUGACUGUCUGUAGACGAUAUUGAAUCGUUGUCGAAGAAAGGAAUGAUGAUGAUUGAUCGCGAAGGAAGAUUCGAAGCUAUAUAUAAGAUUAUGAAAGUAUUUGAUCGCCUGUAGACGAUAUUAAAUCGUGAAUUGAAGAAUGAAAUGAUGAUGAUUGAUCAAGAAAGAAAAUUCGAAGAUGAAAGUAUUCGAAUACUUGUAGACACCUUAUUAUUAAUACGAAUAUAUUAUAACGAAUAUAUUAGAUGUAUUAUCUGGAACAUUUUGAAAUUUCAUUAACACUGUAAUGAGACUCGACUAUCAUGAUUAUAUCGGUAACGUUUGGAACCUGUUUGAAAAUAUACGUAGAAAAUACAAGAUGUUUGAUGCAAGUAUAUAUUUUGUACAGAUUAGAAAAGGCGUAACAAGCAUCAGAAUUUAAAGAAUAAGUUAUGUAUUAUAUCAGUAAAUUUCAAUAAAACGAUAUUUAAUUUAUUAUCAAGUUAUUAUUAUGCUCAAGGUGGCUUCUCAUACUGUAUAUUAAUUUUUCACUAAAUAUAUGUUUGCAGUAAAUACCAUUCACAUCAAUCAAUAUCAAUACAUCAAUCGUGACUGUCUCAUUACAAUGCUGAUGGAAUUUCAAAAAUGUUUUAUAUAACACAUACGAUGUACAGUGUCGCGAAUAAUUAUAAACACUUAACUCUAUUUAUACAUUUUUCAUAAUAUUAAAACAACAAUUGACAAAAUCGUUUAUAUAAUUUCAUAUUAUAAAAUAAAACAAAACUCAAGAUACAACAAGUAAAUAUUUUCCUUCGUUCUUCUUUCGCAGUCUGGAAAAAUGAAAUUUCCUCUUAAAAUUGUGUUUUCUGUGAAAAAACAUAAAUUCAAUGUUAAUUUAGUUACGUUUUUGUUCAAUACUAAGUGGGUUUGUCUUUAUUUUUGAUUACUUCUAUUAUUCUGUGAAAAUCCAAUAUCUAUUAACUUAUUUAAAGUUUCGCUUUGAGUAUCCGGCUACACGAAUUUUAUUCUUUUUUUAAUUCCAGUGAUAUUUUCUAUAGAAGGCUUCCCCUGAUCGCAAAUUUUUCUUCUUAAAAUUGCCCAUAGCUUCUCGAUCGGAUUCGAAUCAGGACUCAACGCUGGCCAUGCUAACAAUCCUAUAAUCUUAAAAGCACUUCUUCCUAGUGAUGGCUGUAUGAAUAACAGCAUUGUCUCGUUGAAAGAUUUCAGUUAUAAAAGGCAAUAAUUCACCAUGUAACAUUUCCUAGUAUCCUAUGGCGUUCAAUUUAUCCUUUAUAAAAAUAAUUUCACUUAAUAUAUCCAAGCAUGAUCAGCGAUUUCUUAGAGAUAUUGAAGAAAUAAUUCAGUGUUUGAGUAUAUAAUUAUUCGCAACACUGUACACAUAUAUAUAUAAAUUUUCUAUAAUAAGUAUUCAAGUAAUUGCAUGAGCCACUGUAAACGAUACACAUUUAUAAAUUCUUGCAAAUUGACUUAGAUUUGAUUGAAAUGUUAGAACAUUGGCCCACGGUUAGAAUUGGACAGGAUUGAGUAAUUGAGAUAGACAAAUAGCAGGGUAAAUUAGUAAGACACAGGAAGUGGCAUAUGAUUAAAUCUGCUCUAUAUUUAAGCUAUUUCUGAAUGGUUAUUUGGAUUCGUCAGGAUUACGUAUAACGUAGAGCAAAGACUACGUGGGGAAAUUCGAUUGGUGUAAAAUAAGCUGUUGGGUUUAUGCGCUGUGGGUUAGUGUUGCUAUAUGUGGUGUUCCUUUUUGAUCCAUGUGGAUGGCUGAGAAAUUUAGAUUAGAUUGUAAUACAUAUAUAUAUAAAUACUAUAAAAAACUUAAACUAA